UUACCCGCGAAUUUAAGCAUAUAGGUAGGCAGAGGAAAUCAAACCAAAUGGAAUAUCAGAAGUAAUUGCGAAUGAACAUGACUUAACUCAUUUUAAUAAUCGGGGCCUUUGGCUUCGACAUGUAAUGUUGAAAUGCAUUGCCAAUGGGGGCCUGGAUGCACGCCUCUUGGAACAGAGCAGCAAUAAGGGUGAUAUUCCUGUUGGUCAUUAUGAGUUCUUCAUGCACUGUGUGCAUCUUCAGAAUCACGCUUUUUGGGAAUGGAGUGCAAAGUGGGUGGUAAGUUUCAUGUAAAGAUAAAUAUGAGCUUGAGACCGGUAGCAAACAAGUCCCUUGAGGGAAAGAUGAAAAGAACUUUGAAAAGAGAGUUAAAAGAGCUUGAAUUUGCUGAGUGGAAAGCAAGCGGAAAAAGGCAAAGGUUGGUCAGAUUGCUGUUUGUUUUUGGAUUUGCCACGUGCUUGCAUCCAGUGCGUGUGGUUGACAAAGAAUACCAUAAUGGCGCAUCUUCCAGCAUUGUCAGCAACAAUUAGUAAAUGGAAAUUGAUUGGCAUGACAUGGUAUGCCUGCGGGUGUGCUUUUGUUGUUCAUUUGCAGUUGUGUACUAAUUGGCGACUCUGUUGUUUUAUUUGCGUGCUCGCAUUAGCUUUUUGCACAUGUGUUCAAUGUCUCCUGCAAUUGAACAGCACGCAGUCUUCGACAGAAACAAUGUUGACAUUCCGUUUUUUGCUUGAACCGUCUUGUAACACGGACCAAGAAUCUAACUGAACUGCCAGUUUAUGGGUUUUGAACCUGACAGGCCAUAAAGUUGUGAAUUAUACUUGCCCCCACGACCAACUACCUUACUGAGCUGGUUGCAAUUGAAACCGUCGUGACACCCUGGCGAUGUGACCAUGCUUCGAUCUGGAACGUAGGGCGAACACUGAUAGAAGCUCAAUGCCGUCUGACCGGCCUACUGUCAUUACUUUGGU
rnacentral:rRNA from 1 species